CACGGGGGGAGCAAGCGUUGUUCGGAAUUACUGGGCGUAAAGGGCUCGUAGGCGGCCAACUAAGUCCGACGUGAAAUCCCCAGGCUUAACCUGGGAACUGCGUCGGAUACUGGAUGGCUUGAAUUCGGGAGAGGGAUGCAGAAUUCCAGGUGUAGCGGUGAAAUGCGUAGAUAUCUGGAGGAAUACCGGUGGCGAAGGCGGCAUCCUGGACCGACAUUGACGCUGAGGAGCGAAAGCUAGGGGAGCAAACGGG
rnacentral:rRNA from 1 species